UUGCAUUUUCCCAAAAGCGGAGGAAAAGAAACCAACAGGGAUUGCCUCAGUAGCGGCGAGUGAAGCGGCAAGAGCUCAGAUUUGAAAUCGUGCUUUGCGGCACGAGUUGUAGAUUGCAGGUUGGAGUCUGUGUGGAAGGCGGUGUCCAAGUCCCUUGGAACAGGGCGCCCAGGAGGGUGAGAGCCCCGUGGGAUGCCGGCGGAAGCAGUGAGGCCCUUCUGACGAGUCGAGUUGUUUGGGAAUGCAGCUCCAAGCGGGUGGUAAAUUCCAUCUAAGGCUAAAUACUGGCGAGAGACCGAUAGCGAACAAGUACUGUGAAGGAAAGAUGAAAAGCACUUUGAAAAGAGAGUGAAACAGCACGUGAAAUUGUUGAAAGGGAAGGGUAUUGCGCCCGACAUGGGGAUUGCGCACCGCUGCCUCUCGUGGGCGGCGCUCUGGGCUUUCCCUGGGCCAGCAUCGGUUCUUGCUGCAGGAGAAGGGGUUCUGGAACGUGGCUCUUCGGAGUGUUAUAGCCAGGGCCAGAUGCUGCGUGCGGGGACCGAGGACUGCGGCCGUGUAGGUCACGGAUGCUGGCAGAACGGCGCAACACCGCCCGUCUUGACACCGCGGACCAAAA
rnacentral:rRNA from 1 species